CGCGGGGUGGAGCAGUUGGCAGCUCGUCGGGCUCAUAACCCGAAGGUCGUAGGUUCGAGUCCUGCCUCCGCAACCA
rnacentral:tRNA from 2 species